rnacentral:misc_RNA from 1 species
AAGUCGUAACAAGGUUUCCGUAGGUGAACCUGCGGAAGGAUCAUUAUAGAAUAAACUUGGUGGGUUGCUGCUGGCUCCUCUGGGGCACUGUGCACACCCAUCAUCUUUUUCAACUUCUCCACCUGUGCACCCCAUGUAGACCCCCUUUCCUGGCUAUCAAAAGGGAGUAAUGUCCCAUUUUUGGUGUCAAAGGCCUGCUGCUGCAAAACCUGCUCAGCUUGCCUGAUUGAAGACAGGCCAGAGAGGGAUGGGUCUAUGUUUUCACAUAUUACCCCAAAAAAAUCCUAGAACAUAUCCAAGGCCAUAAAAAAGCCUAUAUAAAAAUUAUACAACUUUCAGCAACGGAUCUCUUGGCUCUC